GAUGAAGAACGUAGCGAAAUGCGAUAAGUAAUGUGAAUUGUAGAAUUCAGUGAAUCAUCGAAUCUUUGAACGCAUCUUGCGCUCCUUGGUAUUCCUUGGAGCAUGCCUGUUUGAGUAUCAUGAGCAAAUCUCAAAGUCAAUUCCUUUUGUUGAUUCAAUUGGUUUUGCUUUGGACUUGGAGGCCUUGCAGAUUUCACAGUCUGCUCCUCUUAAAUGCAUUAGCUGGAUCUCAGUAAUUAUGCUUGGUUCCACUCGGCGUGAUAAGUAUCACUCGCUGAGGACACUGUUAAAAAGGUGGCCAGGAAAAUACUGAUUGAACCGCUUCUAACGGUCUAUUAAGUUAGACAAUUACCCUUAAGUUUGAUCUCAAAUCAGGUAGGACUACCCGCUGAACUUAAGCAUAUCAAUAAGCGGAGGA
rnacentral:misc_RNA from 1 species